rnacentral:sRNA from 12 species
UAGCAAUACGCGGCCUAGUCUGAAAAGAUGGAUAAUGUUUAGAGCAUUAAGUUUAGCCGGUGGGGCGGUUUCGGGAUUGCCGCCAUCCUAGUCCCACCGGUUGGCUUAU